CCCAGCUGAAGGUCCGCAUGUUCUACAUUUUGCUUCAGAUUCUGAUUUUGAUAUCAGCAAUCAAUAAGCUUUUAGAUACUAAUGUGAUUCUUGUCAUACGGUUAGGUGGAUUUAGUGUUGCUUUUGAUCCACUUGAUGGCUCAAGUAUUGUAGACACAAAUUUCUCUGUGGGCACCAUCUUUGGAGUGUGGCCAGGAGAUAAACUAACAGGAGUGACAGGAAGAGACCAGGUUGCAGCAGCGAUGGGAGUUUAUGGUCCAAGAACUACAUAUGUUCUUGCUCUUAAAGACUACCCUGGAACCCACGAGUUCCUUCUUCUAGACGAAGGUGUGCAUUCAACAUUAUAAUUCUAAUACUCGACUUCUGAGAUUAGAAAUUUUCUGUUACUGUCAUGGUCAUCCACCAAAUUAUUGAUAAACUUGAGAUCUUGCUAGUCCAAAAGGAGUUUCUGUCCCUUCUAAAAGACUAUGAACUUAGGGUCUCUCUCUAUCUAUCUUCCAGGAAAAUGGCAACAUGUGAAGGAGACAACAGAAGUUGGUGAAGGAAAACUAUUCUCUCCUGGAAAUUUGAGAGCCACAUUUGACAACCCUGACUAUGACAAGGUUUCUAUUGUAAUUUUACCUAUUAUAUUUGAUGGAGGAGGUUUUCUGUUGUUUUCAAGUUUUGGUAAACUAAAAAAACUAGCUUCCUCUUAAU
rnacentral:misc_RNA from 1 species